AGCAGGGUAGAUCAGUGGUAGAUCGCCACGCUCAUACCGUGGAGGCCGCGGGUUCGAGCCCCGCCCCUGCUCCCA
rnacentral:tRNA from 1 species